GAUGAAGAACACAGUGAAAUGUGAUAAGUAAUGUGAAUUGCAGAAUUCAGUGAAUCAUUAAAUCUUUGAACGCACCUUGCACCUUUUGGUAUUCCAAAAGGUACACCUGUUUGAGUGUCAU
rnacentral:rRNA from 2 species